UACGUAAGGGGCGAGCGUUGUCCGGAUUUAUUGGGCGUAAAGAGCUCGUAGGCGGUUUGGUAAGUUGGAUGUGAAAUCUCCAGGCUCAACUUGGAGGGGUCAUUCGAUACUGCCAUGACUAGAGUUCGGUAGGGGAGUGUGGAAUUCCUGGUGGAGCGGUGAAAUGCGCAGAUAUCAGGAGGAACACCCGUAGCGAAGGCGGCACUCUGGGCCGGAACUGACGCUGAGGAGCGAAAGCGUGGGGAGCGAACAGG
rnacentral:rRNA from 1 species